rnacentral:lncRNA from 1 species
GCAAUAAAUGCGAGAAUAUUUACUUCCAUAAUUUCAUUGUUUUUCUACUUUGCAAUAACUCGGGAUUUAAUCCCAUAGAGAUGAUAAAUUUGUCGCUUAUAAAUUCAAUGCGAUGACUUACAUUUCAAUGACAUCGAAUCGGAUCAAUAUCAUGAAUAACAAUAUCUAAUCUAUCAAAUCGAUUCACCGUCGAGAAUUGAAUAGUAUAACAUAGGAAGCUCUUUUAUCCACACCGAAUACAAAAUUGGAUUCUUGGCCCAAUCAAAAGAAUUCCCUUUCCUUUAUUUCUAUAAAAUUCUUUUUCCACUUUUUCUUUUCGAUAAUCUAUCACACAGUUUUGUCCUACAAAAGACGUUUUGUGCGAACCCUUUUAUACCCCAGUGACCCUCCUAUUAUGUUCGAUAUAGGAUUCAGGACUCUUCCUUAGGUCUAUGACAUUC